rnacentral:rRNA from 1 species
AUUGAACGCUGGCGGCAGGCCUAACACAUGCAAGUCGAGCGGAUGAAGGGAGCUUGCUCCUGGAUUCAGCGGCGGACGGGUGAGUAAUGCCUAGGAAUCUGCCUGGCAGUGGGGGAUAACGUCCGGAAACGGGCGCUAAUACCGCAUACGUCCUGAGGGAGAAAGUGGGGGAUCUUCGGACCUCACGCUAUCAGAUGAGCCUAGGUCGGAUUAGCUAGUUGGUGGGGUAAAGGCCUACCAAGGCGACGAUCCGUAACUGGUCUGAGAGGAUGAUCAGUCACACUGGAACUGAGACACGGUCCAGACUCCUACGGGAGGCAGCAGUGGGGAAUAUUGGACAGUGGGCGAAAGCCUGAUCCAGCCAUGCCGCGUGUGUGAAGAAGGUCUUCGGAUUGUAAAGCACUUUAAGUUGGGAGGAAGGGCAGUAAGUUAAUACCUUGCUGUUUUGACGUUACCGACAGAAUAAGCACCGGCUAACUUCGUG